GGAUGUGAGGGCGAUCUGGCUGCAACAUCUGUCACCCCAUUGAUCACCAGGGUUGAUUCGGCUGAUCUGGCUGGCUAGGCGGGUGUCCCCUUCCUCCCUCAACGAUCCAUGUGCGUCCCUCCCAAAGCUGCACGCUCGGUCGAAGAGGACGACCACCCCCGAUAGAGGAGGACCGUUCCUCGGUCAAGGGUAUAUGAGUAGCUGCGCUCCCCUGCUAGAACCUACAAACAAGCUCUCAAGAAGAAAUUUAGUUUGUUCAAUGUUUAUGUUGAAUUCCACCAAACAUUAAUUAAAGGCUUCCUUUGAAGGGAUUAUUAAAAUGCAGUUAUUU
rnacentral:snRNA from 1 species